UAAGAUAGUAAGUUACUAAAUAUGGCUUCUAACCAUAUAACGAGAGGUUAAAUUCCUUUCUGUCUUAA
rnacentral:tRNA from 1 species